rnacentral:rRNA from 1 species
AACUAACGCUGGCGGCGUGCCUAACACAUGCAAGUCGUACGAGAAAGCCGGCUUCGGCUGGUGAGUAAAGUGGCGCACGGGUGAGUAACGCGUGGAUAAUCUGCCCUUAAGUGUGGAAUAACGUACCGAAAGGUGCGCUAAUACCGCAUAAUGCCUGGCAACACAAGUUGUCCGGCCAAAGAAGGCCUCUGUUUACAAGCUUUCGCUUCAGGAUGAGUCCGCGUACCAUUAGCUUGUUGGUGGGGUAAUGGCCUACCAAGGCUGCGAUGGUUAGCUGGUCUGAGAGGAUGAUCAGCCACACUGGAACUGAGACACGGUCCAGACUCCUACGGGAGGCAGCAGUGAGGAAUAUUGCGCAAUGGGGGCAACCCUGACGCAGCCAUGCCGCGUGAAUGAUGAAGGCCUUAGGAUUGUAAAGUUUCUUUUGCCCGUGACGAUGAUGACGGUAACGGGAGAAUAAGCUCCGGCUAACUUCGUCC